GACGAACGCUGGCGGCGUGCUUAACACAUGCAAGUCGAACGGAAAGGCCCUGCUUUUGUGGGGUGCUCGAGUGGCGAAGGGGUGAGUAACACGUGAGUAACAUGCCCUUGACUUUGGGAUAACUUCAGGAAACUGGGGCUAAUACCGGAUAGGAGCUCCUGCUGCAUGGUGGGGGUUGGAAAGUUUCGGCGGUUGGGGAUGGCCUCGCGGGUUAUCAGCUUGUUGGUGGGGUAGUGGCUUACCAAGGCUUUGACGGGUAGCCGGCCUGAGAGGGUGACCGGCCACAUUGGGACUGAGAUACGGCCCAGACUCCUACGGGAGGCAGCAGUGGGGAAUAUUGCACAAUGGGCGGAAGCCUGAUGCAGCAACGCCGCGUGCGGGAUGACGGCCUUCGGGUUGUAAACCGCUUUCGCCUGUGACGAAGCGUGAGUGACGGUAAUGGGUAAAGAAGCACCGGCUAACUACGUG
rnacentral:rRNA from 1 species